rfam:Asian citrus Psyllid, Diaphorina citri - Florida Strain, whole genome shotgun sequence.
GUCCAGUUAGCUUAGUUGGUAGUGCGUCUGCCUUGUAAGCGCUAGGCUCGGGUUCGAUUCCCGCCCGGGGCG